rnacentral:rRNA from 1 species
AUGCAGGUUCUUACAGAGAAGAAUACUGUACUGUCCCAGGAGCUGGAAAAGUGCAAGGCCCAACUAGAGGCCGCACUAGCCACAGCAGGGGAGUCCAAAGAGACCCCCUCAGGUAAGAUACACUUCGAAAGAUUAGUAUUGUGCGGUGUGGGUGCAAAUUUGACGGAUCAUAUUGCAGAUGGCGCCGGACUCGAUCCGGACAAGCAACAACUCUUACGCCAGCUAAAGGCCGGUGAGAGGAUGUUGACAAAGGUGAGGCGAGAGAAGAAUGAUCUUCAGGAUGCCAACACCAAGCUGGACGUCGAACUUAAAGAUGUUCGUGGCCAGCUGUCAGACUCCACGAAGGAGAAUCAGCAGCUUCGACGCGGCAUUUUUAGUAAGUGCUUGAACGAACUUUGA